rnacentral:rRNA from 1 species
UAGGGAAUCUUCGGCAAUGGACGCAAGUCUGACCGAGCAACGCCGCGUGAGUGAAGAAGGUUUUCGGAUCGUAAAACUCUGUUGUUAGAGAAGAACAAGGAUGAGAGUAAAAUGUUCAUCCCUUGACGGUAUCUAACCAGAAAGCCACGGCUAACUACGUGCCAGCAGCCGCGGUAAUACGUAGGUGGCAAGCGUUGUCCGGAUUUAUUGGGCGUAAAGCGAGCGCAGGCGGUUUCUUAAGUCUGAUGUGAAAGCCCCCGGCUCAACCGGGGAGGGUCAUUGGAAACUGGGAGACUUGAGUGCAGAAGAGGAGAGUGGAAUUCCAUGUGUAGCGGUGAAAUGCGUAGAUAUAUGGAGGAACACCAGUGGCGAAGGCGGCUCUCUGGUCUGUAACUGACGCUGAGGCUCGAAAGCGUGGGGAGCAAACAGG